rnacentral:sRNA from 2 species
CGUCCACAUCCGGAUUUGCCUAAACCCCACCCAGGCUGCAUUUGCGUAGCAGUGAAAAACCGGUAUUUUCUAUCCAUGAAUCACACUG